AGCCCCCACUCUGGGGAGGGAAACCCAACCUGAGAGCCAGAGUGACAGUGGCAGGUUAAGCCCCCUGUUGGAGGGGAAAGCACCUCGUCUCAAACGCAGGAAGCAGCCUCGGGUUCACCCACGUUACAGCGACCAGUGGGACGACACAAGCUCAAGUGACUCUGAUAGUGCUUAUCCUUCCCAAAACUUAAUUUUGCGCCUACGCCAGCUUGAAUCCCUAGCCAAGGACAUUGAGUGCUUUGAUAGCCAUGAUUCCACCACAGACCAAGCCUGCGUCAAGCACAUCCACAUACCAAAAGGGGGAAGCAGUCCCAGCUCCCAAAGGCGAGGGUAGACUAGUUCAAGCCACAACAUGAUAUGUAUAAAGAGAACUAGUCCGCAUCCAUUGUAGGUCCCAAAAUCUUAUCAGUAACCUGGUAGAAAUAGCUGGAUCUCUGGAUGGGGAGUACUCCACAUACUCACGUCAGUACUCCCCGCGGCGAUGGAGGAGGAACUUAGACGUCAGCCAUACUGAUUGGACCAAACAAUAGGACGGGCGUGACCAAAAACACUGUUAUAAAAAGCCGCCGUGACCGAAGACUCGUCCCUUGUUCUCUUCGACCCUCUCCCUUCUCUUCUUGCCUUCGAGAUCACUGCAGACCUUUCUUCUCUCCGUCCACCUAGAGCUUCUCUCUGCACCGGCACGCCUGGAGCCUCCACCGCAGCCAGCAGCUGAACUAACAGAAACGUCGUCACAGAGAACGGGCCUGAUCACCCAUCUACUUCCAGCCACCUGGUUAGGAAACCGCCAGCUUAACCGCCUCACCCGCCGCCGCAUCAGCUGAUCACGACGCGAUCACCACUACGCAUACCAGGAUUAAGCACUCCUGCAUCUCACGCCGCCCGCGGGGCUGUCUGCCAGAGAGCGCUAGACUCCAUCGCCUUGCGCUACAGCGUCGCCAGAGCCGGCAAUUCCAACUGCAGUAUAGGCACCAGGCGGCUCAACAAGCAUUCAACGCCUUCCCGACCGGAGAGGCCCUUAGAUUCGUCGACGCUGAGAUCCAUCAGCCGCCACGGACCGAUCACAGUCUCGACGUAUCAGACGACGCGCUUCUGGAGGUGUCACCAGACCCCGGAGAGAUAUUUACUGCCGGCGAGUGCGUCGUCAAUGCGCCGCCACCCACCCCGGAGCCGCCGCAGCAGCCACAACAACAACAACAACAACAACAGCGAGAAC